GACGAACGCUGGCGGCGGGCUUAACACAUGCAAGUCGAACGGAAAGGCCUCUUUCGGGGGGUACUCGAGUGGCGAACGGGUGAGUAACACGUGAGUAACCUGCCCUUGACUUUGGGAUAACUUCAGGAAACUGGGGCUAAUACCGGAUAGGAGCUCCUGCUGCAUGGUGGGGGUUGGAAAGUUUCGGCGGUUGGGGAUGGACUCGCGGCUUAUCAGCUUGUUGGUGGGGUAGUGGCUUACCAAGGCUUUGACGGGUAGCCGGCCUGAGAGGGUGACCGGCCACAUUGGGACUGAGAUACGGCCCAGACUCCGACGGGAGGCAGCAGUGGGGAAUAUUGCACAAUGGGUGGAAGCCUGAUGCAGCAACGCCGUGUGCGGGAUGACGGCCUUCGGGUUGUAAACCGCUUUCGCUCAUGACGAAGCUUUGUGUGACGGUAGUGGGUAAAGAAGCACCGGCUAACUACGUG
rnacentral:rRNA from 1 species